rnacentral:rRNA from 1 species
AGCAGCCGCGGUAAUACGUAGGUGGCAAGCGUUGUCCGGAAUUAUUGGGCGUAAAGGGCUCGCAGGCGGUUUCUUAAGUCUGAUGUGAAAGCCCCCGGCUCAACCGGGGAGGGUCAUUGGAAACUGGGAAACUUGAGUGCAGAAGAGGAGAGUGGAAUUCCACGUGUAGCGGUGAAAUGCGUAGAGAUGUGGAGGAACACCAGUGGCGAAGGCGACUCUCUGGUCUGUAACUGACGCUGAGGAGCGAAAGCGUGGGGAGCGAACAGGAUUAGAUACCCUGGUAGUCCACGCCGUAAACGAUGAGUGCUAAGUGUUAGGGGGUUUCCGCCCCUUAGUGCUGCAGCUAACGCAUUAAGCACUCCGCCUGGGGAGACGGCGCAAGACUGAAACUCAAAGGAAUUGACGGGGGCCCGCACAAGCGGUGGAGCAUGUGGUUAAUUGAGCACGCGAGACCUUACCAGGUCUUGACAUCCUCUGACAACCCUAGAGAUAGGGCUUUCCCUUCGGGGACAGAGUGACAGGUGGUGCAUGGUUGUCGUCAGCUCGUGUCGUGAGAUGUUGGGUUAAGUCCCGCAACGAGCGCAACCCUUGAUCUUAGUUGCCAGCAUUCAGUUGGGCACUCUAAGGUGACUGCCGGUGACAAACCGGAGGAAGGUGGGGAUGACGUCAAAUCAUCAUGCCCCUUAUGACCUGGGCUACACACGUGCUACAAUGGACAGAACAAAGGGCUGCAAGACCGCAAGGUUUAGCCAAUCCCAUAAAUCUGUUCUCAGUUCGGAUCGCAGUCUGCAACUCGACUGCGUGAAGCUGGAAUCGCUAGUAAUCGCGGAUCAGCAUGCCGCGGUGAAUACGUUCCCGGGCCUUGUACACACCGCCCGUCACACCACGAGAGUUUGCAACA